AUAUCCCAUGGCUUAACACAGUUUUUAUGAAAAGCUAUAAUUCAAGACUUAAUAUUUCAUAUUACCUUUUGUUCAUUUCGAUAAUUUUAUAUUUUCAUCACCAAAAAUUAGUUUGAAAUUCGAAUAAUUUAAAAGAAUUUUAAUACUCUCAGAGAGCGCCAUCUAUUGACCAGGCCGUGUACAUUUUACAUUCAACAUACACACUUAACAUGGGUUAUGUAUUAUGCGAAUUUCAUGCUCUUGACUUAGGUUUAGUAUCUACGAUGAUCGUUUCCCGGAUUCAAUAGUCAAAGGAAUUAGUUUGUGCUAUGACAUGUCGACUACUAUUAGAGAGAAAUCACCAAAAUGUGUUCAUUACAUGUGCAUUGCAAGAAAGUCCGCGAAACUCGAGAAAUUACUACACAAGAGAAGGGGCUACAGACAGCAAUUUAUCGGCUUUGCUACACUGAAUAUCCCCGAGCGUAGGCCGGGGGCUAACCCUAGGUGCCGCUGGCUUCUCCUCCGCCAGACUGACUGUGUAUCGGACUCAAGUACUCAGCUCAGCUCAGCUCGGCGUUUGUGUUAUUUAUCGUACCGGACACCAAUCCCGCAUUCAAAGGAUACAGGUAAAACACUGGAAGUUCCCAAAAUGCCAGGUGUCAGGAUGGACAUACAUUUUACCUUGCCAGCUCACACAAGACAAAGAGGGGAUUAUUAUUAUAUUGCUCCAUCUCUGGAAAGCUUUAGGGGCACAGUCUAGCAUGCACUACCACGCCUUCUGCAACAUUUCCACUGAUCUGUGGCGUUCCUCAAGGAGCCGGAGGCCACCCAUGAUACCCAGGAGGGGUCCCUCCCCUUUUGACCCUAGUUGACCUCCAGAACAUCAAGCUCAAAAGUUUCUCUAGAAGACUUUCAUGCCUCAAGAAGCCCGUAUUCAGUCUUUGCACAAGGUCAGUCUCAUGUUCAUACAGGAGAUGCCAUAUUGUCAUUUUUAAUUGUUUUGGUGAUUUUAAAAACCACAGAAUAUUUUCCUUUCUACAGACUUGUACAUAAUUGGAGACCAAAAUUUUAGUCAGUCGCAAUAUCUCAAGAACCACACUAGAGAUAUGAGGCUCAAACUGAUAGUAUAUGUACCGCCCUAGGAAAAUGAUCUGAUCA